rnacentral:snoRNA from 1 species
GGCUUCCUGGUGCUUACCACAGGCCAUUCUCACACUGACUGGAUACAAAGAGGCGGCAAAGUAAGCCUACCCCAUAUACACCUCAGCCCAGGGCCUCUGCCUGGUCUGUAUUGAGAAUGGGGGAAAAAAU